CUCAAUGUCGUCCUUGCCAUCACAGCCGUGUCGUCGUCACGCACAAGAGGAGGAGAAGGGGAGCGACGGGGAGAAAAGGAAGGGAUGACGCCGUGAUUGGGCUCGCCUCCAUUGUGUCGCAGGAUCUUCCAGUCCCGUUGCCGCCAUUCGCGCUGUCACCUCCAGUCUGCGCCGUCGCCGUUUGUGAAGAGUGAAAGAGGGAGAGAGAGAGCUCGAGAGCAGAGGAGAGAAAGGGGAGAUCCGUGCUCAGCCACCGCCGUGCCUCUAACGCCGAGAAGCUCCGCUGCCGCCACUGAGAUUCACCAUCGUCACCGUCGAAGAAGCUUCAGGCGCCGCCGUCGAUUGUCACUGGGGAACAACCGCUGUGCCUCUAGUCGCCGGAAUCACAGACUGGAGAGAAGGGGGCUGCCUCUCCUAUUGCUGCUAUUUCGUUCUUUUAUCCUAUUCUACAUCACCUUCACUUUCCAUUAUUUCUGUCAGGUCCGUUCUUGCCGGUGUUGGCC